rnacentral:tRNA from 1 species
GCAGUGGUGCUUUAGUAGUAGAAUUCUCGCCUUCCGUGCAAGAGACCGGGGUUUGAUUCCCAGUCAAUGCA